UGUUUUCCUGGAAAAAAGUGCCGAGGUGAUUUAGUUUAAAAGUUAUUCAAUUGCUGUUUUAGUUGUGUUCAGUACAGGUUAUUCAGACUGAAGAGUGAGACCCUGAGAAGAAAAGGAGAAGCCUGAAAAAUUAUAAGAAAGAAAGAGAGAAAAGAAAGGAAGGAGCAUGAAAACAGGAGUACAUUAAGAUAUUGAGAGCUGUUACCAAAGCCUAAAGAGUCUCAGACCUCAAGGCAGAAACUACGGACAAACUGGAUGGGAUACUGACAUGAGUCUCAGCCCGGACAUCCAAGUGGGAUGUAUCUUGCAAAUACUUACUGUCAAGUAUCUCUUAUUCUGAGUAGCCCAAUUAACUUUGCUGAGAAUAUUUCCAGUAACAAGCUCUGGAUUUCAUUCUGCUUUUUUCCUGCUUAG
rnacentral:lncRNA from 1 species